rnacentral:rRNA from 1 species
CGGGAAUUUUGGGCAAUGGGCGAAAGCCUGACCCAGCAACGCCGCGUGAAGGAUGAAAUCCCUCGGGAUGUAAACUUCGCAAGAACGGGAAGAAUAAGUCUGCGUGAAUAUCGCAGAUGAAGACGGUACUGUUUGUAAGCUCCGGCUAACUCCGUGCCCGCAGCCGCGGUAAUACAGGGGGUGCAAACGUUGCUCGGAAUUAUUGGGCGUAAAGCGCGCGUAGGCGGCUACUUAAGUCGGAUGUGAAAGCCCCUGGCUCAACUGGGGAAGUGCACCCGAAACUGAGUGGCUUGAGUGCGAAAGAGGGUCGCGGAAUUCCCGGUGUAGAGGUGAAAUUCGUAGAUAUCGGGAGGAACACCGGUGGCGAAGGCGGCGACCUGGGUCGACACUGACGCUGAGGCGCGAAAGCGUGGGGAGCAAA